rnacentral:rRNA from 1 species
AGUGAACGCUGGCGGUAGGCCUAACACAUGCAAGUCGAACGGCAGCACAGUAAGAGCUUGCUCUUACGGGUGGCGAGUGGCGGACGGGCGAGGAAUACAUCGGAAUCUACUUUUUCGUGGGGGAUAACGUAGGGAAACUUACGCUAAUACCGCAUACGACCUACGGAUGAAAGCAGGGGAUCUUCGGACCUUGCGCGAUUGAAUGAGCCGAUGUCGGAUUAGCUAGUUGGCGGGGUAAAGGCCCACCAAGGCGACGAUCCGUAGCUGGUCUGAGAGGAUGAUCAGCCACACUGGAACUGAGACACGGUCCAGACUCCUACGGGAGGCAGCAGUGGGGAAUAUUGGACAAUGGGCGCAAGCCUGAUCCAGCCAUACCGCGUGGGUGAAGAAGGCCUUCGGGUUGUAAAGCCCUUUUGUUGGGAAAGAAAAGCAGCAGGUUAAUACCCCGCUGUUCUGACGGUACCCAAAGAAUAAGCACCGGCUAACUUCGUG